AUUGAACGCUGGCGGCAUGCCUAACACAUGCAAGUCGAACGGCAGCACAAUAAAGAUUUCGGUCUUUAUGGGUGGCGGGUGGCGGACGGGUGAGUAACGCGUAGGAAUCUGUCCUGGAGAGUGGGAUAACCCGAGGAAACUCGGGCUAAUACUGCAUAACAUUGAGAGAUCAAAAGCAGGGGACCGAAAGGCCUUGCGCUCUGGGGUGCGCCUACGUCGGAUUAGCUAGUUGGUGGGGUAAAGGCCUACCAAGGCGACGAUCCGUAGCUGGUCUGAGAGGAUGACCAGCCACUCUGGGACUGAGACACGGCCCAGACUACUACGGGAGGCAGCAGUGGGGAAUCUUGGACAAUGGGGGAAACCCUGAUCCAGCGAUGCCGCGUGUGCGAAGAAGGCCUUCGGGUUGUAAAGCACUUUAGGUGGGGAAGAAAGGUAGCGAGUGAAUAACUUUCUGCUGUGACGGUACCCACAGAAUAAGCACCGGCUAACUCUGUGCCAGCCGCCGCCGUAA
rnacentral:rRNA from 1 species